AUGGAAAUACAAGAAUUAUCCAGAGAGAAGACAAAAAAUAAAAGAAUUGAUCCUGUGGACUCCUUCUUAACUUGUGCUCCACCACUUGUUAAAACACUUUUACACUGCGUACAACUGAAGCAACUUGUGCCAGUCACUGUAGACGCAACACUUUUGCGCCAUGCCAACAAGGCUCUCUCCCAUCAGCACACUCUGACACAAGCAAAGCCCUUGGUAGUCGGGUUUCUGCCAAGCAUGCAACAUGAGUGUCAUUUUUACAAUGCGAGUUGACAUCACAGUCCCACCGCAACACUGCAAUUUGUGUGAUAAAGGCGGUCCGUGCUGCUCCGCAAAGGAAAGGGCAGACAAACAAUAAGGACCCUGCUCUGCUACUUCCAUUCAGCUUGAAAGUUUGUUAAAUUUAGUUUAAACACCCUGGGAGGGUGACAGGUUGCUUUCCAUCCCUCGCAAUGAAGGGGCGCUGUCUGCCAGAGCGGAGGGCAGUUUUAAUCAAACUCAAGUCUCUCAGCAGGUUUUUCGAUGAAUGCAUUUUUCUGUCUGCUUCCUGUAAAAUCCCAGGAAUGAGGCUUACACAGGUAAAGUCAUACACCAGACUACAGUAUAAGAGACACAGCUGAUGUUGUAUUAAGUCUGCACAACUGCAGCUGCAGGUGUAUUGGCACCACUACCCAAUCACACCUUUACUUAUGUGUGUGGUGUUUAAUAUUGUUGUGUGAGUGUUUGAAGUGGUACCCAGCAGGAAGGAGGCCCCGCUGGUUCUGACUCCGCCCGACAAUCCAGGCCUCCCAGUGCACACGAAGUGCUCAGUCGAUCAACUAGUGUGUAACGAUCCGUCUGUCAGACACAUAUUUUCACAGGACAUGUCCCAGGUUUGCAUAUUCGUAGCACCGCCUACGAGCACCAACCCGUCCCGUUCAGCCUCCUGUUACUGAAGCUCUGCGUGUUUAGCAAAUGUGUGGAGGAAUUGGCAUUGAGAAACAACGGCGUCAGAACAUUGUAUUUUGCUGGAUAGAUAGUUAUUUUAUUUGCUCCGACUCACAAGAACAAGCGAUGAAUGAUUCCACUGCAUUUAUAUCUCAUCUCUGCAACCUUUGUUUUAACCUCAGCCGACAGAGGUGCGGCUCUGAGGGCAAACUACCUGCACGGGGAGUGGAGGCGUCAUCCAAAAGGGGUGAAGCGGAUUUGGGAGCGAUUUAACCAGGUUACUUUACUUGGUUGAUUUUAAUAAUUUAAUUUGCUUCAAUUUAAACAUACCAGUCCAAAGUUUGUCAGCAGCAAAAAACACGUGUCAGUCACAACAAUACAUGAUUGACAGAAAGGCCUCACUCUGAUAUCAAAGAAGCAGGGUUUAGGUUAACUAACCCAGCGUUUCUCCUCACACUGUUUGCGGUGUUGAGGGCAUUUAAGGCAGCACAGAGUUCUAUUUGGACCUACUUUAUUGAUCCCCUUGGGGAAAGAUUGAUGAUUAGAUGGAUGUUAUCCAAGACCCCUCACUUUUUCAAAAGUCUGUGGAUGUGAAAAUUCCUGUGUUCAAGUACAGAUUAGCUAUCUACAAAACACAAGGAAAGAUAAUAUAGUAGUUAAUAGUGCUAUGGUACUAUAGUAGUAGGCAAAAAGCAAUUAUUGAUGUGUCACAGCAAAAAUAAGUAAAUAAUUUAAAAUUCAAAAACAAACUAUCCUCCAUCCUCCUUGUCUGUUUACUCUGUGCAGUAAACAGGUGAUCUACAAAGAAACUAUGUUCAGAAAAAUAAAUAAGAAUAUUAAAUAAUUAUUAAUUAAUAC
ensembl:lncRNA